AACUGCGUGCAGAGGGUUCUGGAGAGAGUUCAAGAGAAUUGUAAAUUAGAAAACGCCUGCUUCUAAAUAAGAAUCUGGGACAUGGUAAUCUGAAAAUGCACUUUUCAAGUGCCUUCAUUAGACUCAAAGAAUGGCUUUAGGAAAGGAGGAAGUCUUCGAGUUAAAGAACAAACUCUGGCACAGGAUCCUAUAGGAUAUGAUAUGAGAGGAUUCCCUAUUCAAAAUGGUUCUCUGCAACCCCUCAUUAACCCCAGGAACCUUCCAAAGUGCUUGGUACAGAAAUGUCAUUCUGUUGGCUGAAGUGAGAUUUUUAUCUCUUAGAGUACCAUGGAAAUGCCCUUACCUGAUAUGGCAGAUGCAUAGUAAGUGCAUAACAGACAGGGAUGCCAUCUUAGCAGAGCCUCUCCUGAAGCUCCUACCUCAGCAUGCGGAAGAUGCUCCCGCUCCUCACCCAUGUGAGGAUAUUGCAGCACUUCAAAGGACAACUCAGGGAAGGAUGUUGAAUGGACCAUCUACUUCUGAGAGGCGAAGCCCC
rnacentral:lncRNA from 1 species